UGGUGAGGCAGUUGUCUUGGGCAUGGAGACCUUGCAUGUUACAGAUGCCGCAGAUGGGCUGGUACUCAAUUGGUGCUUAUGCAUUCGGAUACUCUGGGAGUGAUAUGGCCAGGCUGUUGGCAACAAAAGCAGAUGAUUGGACAUCGAGCUUGACCCCUUCCAGGUCCAUUACUCGUUCGUGCUGGAGCUGCUGCAUAAAUGGGUACUAGAUCGGGUGUAUAACCUUGUAGAACCAGAGGUGGCGAUAGAUCUUGAAGGAGCUGGGGCUGGACGUGGUAGCUGGGACAUGCAGGCAUGUGAGGAGCUGGCUGAGCCGAGUGCUGGCACUUAACUCAAGCUGGUGCAAGACUUGGGCAUUUGCUGGGAUAAUGUCCAUAUCCCUUGCAACAAGUACACCAGAUAUUCUCACGUUCAGUAAUGGGUUGAGGCGGUGUCUAAACUCCUCGAAUCCAGUUAAGCUGAAGCUCGGACAUUUUUUUGGUGAGUGUUUUCAAGUCAUCACAUACUUUGGAGAUUUUUUGUGACUGUGGCAGAGUUGAGAGGAAGUAGCCACGGCAGGAAGUACAUGUUGCUAGAGGCAGCUGUAAUCGACGGUUCCAGGAAAAAAUAAACUCACUAAAUCAGUAAGCAAAGGAUAACAAAGCAAAGCCAAAGAAAACUCCUGUGACGCUGGCUGAUGACGCUGUGACGCUGCUGAUGUUUGCAGGGAGGAAAGGUUGGCGGAAUCACUGGAGGACCACCAAGCACUGAAGGAACAGAGUAGAAAGGCUGUUGGAAGUGAGCCAUACUCACGUGGGCUUGCUCCCGACUGGAAGCUGUGGAAAUAGCCUCAGCAAGUGUUGUGGGAGUCUGGCCCUUCGUGAAGAAAGCCAAUUCGGGAGGCAGGCUGUUCAUGAAGAAGCAAACCUGAUCAUCCUUGCUGGGAGGAGGGUCCUUUUUAGCAACUAGUCACUGAAACCGGAUGAUAAAACUUUGUAAGCUUUCGUUUGGCAGCAAUCGAAUGUAGUUAAGUUCCUCACUAA